rnacentral:rRNA from 1 species
UACGAAGGGUGCUAGCGUUGUUCGGAAUCACUGGGCGUAAAGCGCACGCAGGCGGAUCGAUCAGUCGGGGGUGAAAGCCCGCGGCUCAACCUCGGAAUUGCCUUCGAUACUGUCGGUCUCGAGUCCGGGAGAGGUGAGUGGAAUUCCUAGUGUAGAGGUGAAAUUCGUAGAUAUUAGGAAGAACACCAGUGGCGAAGGCGGCUCACUGGCCCGGUACUGACGCUCAGGUGCGAAAGCGUGGGGAGCAAACAGG